rnacentral:lncRNA from 1 species
GAAAGCCUCACCUCCCUGCCUCGCUGGUGAAACGGAUGCUCCGGAUGGGAACUCUAGCGGACAUGGGAGCCAUUGGAGACAGUUCGGGGGACUAGAUUCCAAACCUUCUGGCUGCCUCCUGGCUGCGUGCCUGCUAUGAACCAAACACAGUGCUUCUUGCGCAUGCGUGUGGAGGUCAGAGACAACUUGUGGGCGUUGGUUCUUUCCUUCUACCAUGAGGGUUCCAGGAAUCAAAACGACUUCAAGGAUCUCAAGUGACCAAGUUUUGGUGAUUCAUGGACACGGUGCCUGAACUGGCUCAGGUCCAAUGAGGAUCUCAUGGCAACGGUAUGAACACAGCAUCUUGAACAGGAAGAGGAGAAUGCUGGGUGAGACCACACUGGGGACUAACGAGCCUCUCGUGAGAAUUACCAAGGAGGACCAAUGGACUGAUUUCUCCUGGGCACAACUCUGAUGGCCUAAGGCCUUCAAUUAGGCCUCUCCUCCAAAGGUUCCACCAUCUUCCAUGGUGCCACGUUGCAGAUCAAGCUUUUGAACACCAGGGACCUUGGGAGAUGCAAUGCUCAAACCACCUCCAGCUUUGUCCUCACUCGGGAGCCUGUCUGCUUCAUGCAGAUGGGAGCAGCCAGACAUAAGGGAGACUUUAAAAAACUCUGGGGUGAAAUUUGUGAAAUCUCUCUAAAAGUGGAGAGUCAGAGAAUUUGAAAACACUACUUAAAAUAUC